rnacentral:lncRNA from 1 species
UCCACCUCUCCUCCCCACCGCCAUCUCCACGUUCUCGCACCGGCGCUGGGGUGCAGGCUUUCAGUGGUCUCAGGGCUACGGCUUGUCGGUGCCUCGCCGCACAGUCCCCUUUGCAUUGAAGGACACGGUCUUACGGUGUAGGAGCAUUUUUGAGGUGCAUUCCUGGAUUUGGAGGCGAACCCCCAAUGGUUACCUCCACAGAGGCUUUGCGAAGGGCGCUCACUGACUUAGGUGAAGAGCGAAGGCUCAAGACUGUGCCGCUUUAUAGUGGCCCCUUGACGUCCAGAAGUUCCCCCCAGCGCCGGUCAUAAGCACUCCCGCCGCCUGGGCCCCGCCCUGCCUGCCAGGCGCCCUCCAGCCUCAGCUCCCGGACGCCCGGCGUGGCCGCUUUCUCGCGUCUUGCUGACCCGGGCCGGGGGCGUGUGCUCCUCCUGCAGCGGACGGAAGAUGCUGGGCCACGCAAGUUUCCCUGGGCUUGGUUAACCACCCCAAAGCCCAUUUCCAGAAGGAAAGGGUGUUGAGGAGGAGGGAUAGAAAGUCGAGAAGAGGGCCGGAGAUGAGAUCUUGCUCUGUCACCCAGACUGGAGUGCAGUGGCACGAUCAUAGCUCACUGCACCCUCAAACUCCUGGACUCAAAUCAUCCUCUACCUCUGCCUCCAUGAGUAACUGGAACUACAGACAAACUCCAACAUUGUCUAUUGGGAAUAAAUAACACUCAGUGAAGAAAACUGGAAGAAGAGGAGAGAGGAAAGGCAAGGCCAUCCAUAUAAUGAAGAGAAUGUUGUCUAGAAAUGAAAAUGACUAAGAGAAGGAAUCAUGUCAACACAGAUUCUCGGAAUUAAACACUUCCAUGUCCCAGAGGAUCAAAGUCACUUGCAAAAAUACCUCAAAAUGUGUUUGUCAAGAAAUUACACUUUCUCUUGAUUUUGUGGACCACUUUCUAAUUUCCAACCCAGACAAAAGCCUCCUAGUGAAGCUGGUCUUUCCUAGCACAUCCCCCUACCCCCCCAGCCACUGUCCCAUCCCUGGAUGGCCUGUCCACAGAGAGCACUGUCUGUGUGGCCACUGGGGGAGGCAGCUGCAUCCCAGAGAUGAUGGUGUCCAGGGCAUGACGAGGAAGCUCUUUGUGUGGCCUGGAGACGUCCCGGGAGCUGGCUGGCGCCCACCUUCUCUCACUUCCUUACCACCUUCUUUCUUGUGUUGCUGCUUUCUCCUUCCCAGCUCUAAACUCCCAUGGUGCUGGAGCAGCCAGAGAAGAAGUGUUACUAGACCUGCCACUGCUACCUACAGUGAGCCCCAUUCUGCACACAGAGGCUGCGGACUCCUUUUUCCCAAUCAUAGACCAGAAUGCUUGUGAAAGAAGAUGUGGCUGUUCUGCAGGUUGGAGCUCUAGGAUCGGAAGAACUCAUCUGUAUCACAUAUGAUCCAGCUGAAAGUCCCUACAAACUGGGCCCUCUGUGUCUUUAGAAGCAGCUUCCAAGGGCAGGAAGACUUCCAGAGUGCAGGACUGAGCGUGCUGCUAAUCUUGUUCUGGUCGAGAGACUGAUGAGAGAGACAAGAAUUAUGGCGCGAGAAAAGCAGCAGCAGCAGCAGCAAGUCUGCAGAGGGGAAUGCCAAACUCGCUACUGGGUGUUUUUUUUUGUUUUGUUUUGUUUUGUUUUGUUUUGUUUUGUUUUGUUUGAUACAGAGUUUCACUCUGUCACCCAGGCUGGAGUAGAGUGGUGCCAUCUCAGCUCAUUGCAACCUCUGCCCCCUGGGUUCAAGCAAUUCUCCUGCCUCAGCCUUCCGAGUAGCUGGGAUUAUAGGCAUGUGCCACCAUGCCUGGCUAAUUUUUGUAUUUUUAGUAGAGACAGGGUUUUGCCAUGUUGGCCAGGCUGGUCUCAAACUACUGACCUCAAGUGAUCCGCCCGCCUGGCCCCCCAAAGUACUGGGAUUACAGGUGUGAGCCACCAUGCCUGGCCUGCUGUGAUUUUUCAUUGAACCUAAUUAACUCAUUUUUAGCCCCUAUUUUUGGUACAAUAAUAGAACUUAGGUUGUAAUCAACUGGUGGGUUCUUUCCGCACACUGCACAGAUAAGAUCAGUCCACAGAGACCACAGCGUUGCAGUAAAGAAAGAGUUUGAUGUGAGGCCAGCCACGUGGGAAAACUGGAGUUAUCACUCAAAUCAGUCUCCCCAAAGGCUUGGAGGUCAGGAUUUUUGUGGACAAUUUGGUGGGCAGGGAGCUAGGGAAUGGGUGUUGCUGAUGGGUAGGGGGUGAAAUCAUAGGGGUGUGGAAAACAGUCCUGAUGUGCUGAGUUUUCCUCUGGGUGGGGCCACAGGACCAGCUGAAUCAUGAAUCCAGGUGGGGCCAGUGUGAAGAACGUAUCAAAAAAUCAAUCUUAGGUUCUACAAUAGUGAUGUUAUCUAUAGGAGCAAUUGGAGAAGUCACAAAGCUUGUGACCCCUGGCCACAUGACUCCUGGGCAGUAAGAGAUUACUAUGUCUACAUUUUAGCAGAGUUCAUGCCUUUCCCACAACUCUAAUCUUGUAGCCCUUCAUUAAUCUUACAAAGGCGGUUUUCAGUCCCUGAGCAAGGAGGGGUUUAUUUUUGGGAGGGACUAUUAUCAUCCUUUAUUUCAGGUUAAACUAUAAACUAGAUUCCUGCCAAAGUUGGCUUGGUCUACGUCCAGGAAUGACAAGGACAGCUGGGAGGGCAGAAGCAAGAUGGAGUCAAUUAUGUCCAAUUUAUCUUACUGUCAUAAUUUUUCAAAGGCAGUUUCAAGGUUACUAUUCUCAUGAUUCAACACAUCCUCAAGGAGUGAGAUUCAGUCUGUGUAAGUGUAUCAUGACUUUCUAUAACACGCCUUGUCAUGCACUCUUCUACCCUGCUAGAAUUGGAGUCUGGCCUCAGCUGGUUCCUACCAGCAGUACUGCCAUCACCUCAUCCUCAUCUGCCCCAUCUGUUGUUUUGGAACCACUUGUGUCCUCUGAAAUGCAUAUGUUGAAGUCCUAACCACCUGUGCCUCAGAAUGGGACUAUGUUUGGAGAAAGGGUUUUAAAGAGGUACUUAAAGUUAAAUGAGAUCAUUACUGUGAACCCUGAUCCAAAUUGACUUAUGCCCUUAUAAGAAAAGGAAAUUUGGCCACUUACACUCACAGAGGAAGAAAUCAUUUGAAGACACAGAGAGAAGAGGGCCGAGGAGAGAGGUCUCAGAGAAACCAACCCAAUGACAUUUCGUCUUGGAUUUCCAGCCCCCAGAAUUACUGGAAAAUACAUUUUUCUUGUUUAGGCCACCCAAUCUGUACUACUUUGUUAUGGCAACCCUAGCAAACUAAUGCAGUCACCAACCCAGGGUGAAAAUGGGACAUUCCCAACUCUAGCUCUUAGGCCAAGCUUAUUUGUAAUAGAUUCUUGUUUUCAAAGGAUAUAGAUAUUGAGAUUCUCAAUGUAUUUGUUAAAAUACAUUGUUUCUUGUUAAAAGCAUAAGACUUUGAAAUGUCUCUGUGUUGCAGAUAUGUAGAUGUUCUGAGCCAUAAUUUUUGGAAAAUUCUUUCAAAGAAAAGGAAAUCUACUGGACAAAUAGCAUGAUUAAUGGGGAUCUAGUGACAAAAUAAUCUGCCCUAAUUGGAUUUGUGAUGUUUUUGCAACUUGAAAUUAGCUUCAAAAUCCAACAAUAAUACGAAAGAAUGUUCAGUAUCACGAAUCAAAUUAAAACCAUAAUUAAAUCACCUCCUUUCAUUAGGGUAGCUACUAUAAAAAAAAAGUAAAACAAAACAGAAAAUAGCAACUGUCGGCAAAGAUGUGGAGAAAUUGGAACCCUUGUGAAACCAUCCCACAGUGUUGACAAGAAUUGCAUGCUGGGUUCUGGACAGAAAUAGUUCCAAUUAAGUACUAAUCAGUCUGCACUUGGGCCCACUUACUCGUUGUUAAAAGUCAUGUAGCCCUGGAUGCUGACCAUGUACAUCUGCAUUGUUCCUAUAGAUAAGAUCUCUGACAUUAGAAUCAUAAGGCUUUUGUUUAAGGAUCACUUAUGAUGUUUUUCACACCCCAAAUUCCAGCAGCCAGUUUGAAGACUCCCACAGAGUAAUGGGAUCAAUAUGAGAAUACAGCUUCUUCAUCUCCCUAUCUCAUGACUUCACCCUCUACUCUUCCAACCAAUCAGUGAUCUCCACAUUGCAGCCCAUUCCAACACUCUUAAAAACCCCUACCCCCAAAUGCCUCAGGGAGACAGAUUUGAGGUUUCUUCUCAUCUCAUUUAGUGACCCUAUGAUUAAACCCCUUUCCUUGCUA